rnacentral:pre_miRNA from 1 species
AAACUGCCCCUUAAGUAUUGACUUUUUUGCAGCUUUGGCCCCCCAGACCAAUUUUGACAAAGUCAAUGCACACAUGGAUGCCACGUGUGUAUUUUUUUAUAUAUAUUUUAAUUAAAAAAUAAAAAAUUAUAUAUAUUUUUAUUUUUUAAUAAUUAAAAAAUAAAUAAAUAAAUACAUAUGUGGUGUCCACGUCAGCUUUGACUUGGUCAAAAUUGGCAUGGGGGCCAAAACUGCAAAAAAGUCAAUACUUAGGGGGCGGUUU